UCCCACGACUAGCAGAGCAUCCUACGGGAGGCAGCAUGGGGAAUAUUGCACAAUGGGCGCAAGCCUGAUGCAGCCAUGCCGCGUGUAUGAAGAAGGCCUUCGGGUUGUAAAGUACUUUCAGCAGUGAGGAAGGUGGAUAUGUUAAUAGCAUAUUCAUUUGACGUUAGCUGCAGAAGAAGCACCGGCUAACUCCGUGCCAGCAGCCGCGGUAAUACGGAGGGUGCGAGCGUUAAUCGGAAUUACUGGGCGUAAAGCGCAUGCAGGUGGUUUGUUAAGUCAGAUGUGAAAGCCCGGGGCUCAACCUCGGAAUUGCAUUUUGAAACUGGCAAACUAGAGUACUGUAGAGGGGGGUAGAAUUUCAGGUGUAGCGGUGAAAUGCGUAGAGAUCUGAAGGAAUACCGGUGGCGAAGGCGGCCCCCCUGGACAGAUACUGACACUCAGAUGCGAAAGCGUGGGGAGCAAACAGGAUUACAUACCCUGGUAG
rnacentral:rRNA from 1 species